AGAGUUUGAUCAUGGCUCAGGAUGAACGCUGGCGGCGUGGAUAAGGCAUGCAAGUCAAGGGGGCUCACAAGAGCAACCGGCAGACGAGGUAGUAACACGUAGGUACGCACCCUAAAGUCAGGGAUAACUAGCCGAAAGGUUAGCUAAUACUUGAUGGUCUCGAAAGAGUAAAGAUUUAUCGCUUUGGGAGCGGCCUGCGGGAUAUCAGCUAGUUGGUAGGGUAAUGGCCUACCAAGGCAAUGACGUCUAGGGGACCUGAGAGGGUGACCCCCACCGAUGGAACUGAGAUACGGUCCAUACACCUACGGGUGGCCGCAGUCGAGAAUCUUCCGCAAUGGGCGAAAGCCUGACGGAGCGACGCCGCGUGAUUGAUGAAGUCCUUCGGGAUGUAAAGAUCUUUUGUGUGGGAAAAAGUUUAUUGAUGGUACCACAAGAAUAAAGGGUUGCUAAACUCGUGCCAGCAGCAGCGGUAAUACGAGUGCCCUAAGCGUUAUCCGGAAUCAUUGGGCGUAAAGGGUGUGUAGGUGGUAGUGUUAGUCUUCUGUUAAAUUCUUCGGCUUAACCGGGGGCAUGCAGGGGAAACGGCACAACUAGAGGAUGCGAGAGGAACAUGGAACUCAUGGAGUAGGGGUGAAAUCCGUUGAUAUCAUGGGGAACACCGAAAGCGAAGGCAAUGUUCUGGCGCACUCCUGACACUGAAACACGAAAGCGUAGGUAGCGAAUGGGAUUAGAUACCCUAGUAGUCC
rnacentral:rRNA from 1 species